GACGAACGCUGGCGGCGUGCUUAACACAUGCAAGUCGAGCGGUAAGGCCCUUUCGGGGGUACGACGAGCGGCGAACGGGUGAGUAACACGUGGGUGACCUGCCCUCAGCUCUGGGAGUAAGCCUGGGAAACUAGGGUCUAAUACUGGAUAUGACUCCACGGUGCAUGUCGUGAGGUGGAAAGGCCUUGUGCGGCUGAGGAUGGGCCCGCGGCCUAUCAGCUUGUUGGUGGGGUGAUGGCCUACCAAGGCGACGACGGGUAGCCGGCCUGAGAGGGCGA
rnacentral:rRNA from 1 species